CACAGUGCCACCUUCGUCCUUUCUUCCCCAUUUUUUUAGCUCUUGCGCCAUUUUUUACCUAAAAUCACAAGUCCUACAGGGCAACCUACCAAUGCCAAGCUGGGUGAAAGACUACGCAGAACUUUUGCUGAGCAGAGCAGCAGGCAGGGAAGCAGGAGGGCUGCCUGUGCACAGGGCUGUGCGCUCCCUCCUCCUGGGUGGGCCUUGCUGCCUGGCUGAGGCCAGGAGCUGCUGGCAGCACCCAAGGGAGCACAGCCUCCCAGGCAUUCCACAGCACCCAGCUGCUUUCAGGUACCUGCCUGCACAUUGCCUGGGCUCAGCCAGGCUGGUUUCCCCAGGGCUGCCCUGCUUACUUUCGAGGCUGGGCUGCAUAGCAAAGGGGCACACUGUUCUUGCUGCCAUUUUAGCUAAAAUGGGGGUUCUAUUCGUCACAUUUUUUGAUCACACACCGUACUAGAGUGAAAUUAGCUCUUUUUUUUUCUUUUUCCUUCCAUCAGUGUUGCGACAGGUUUCCUGUGAUGGUCUAUGCUGAAACUUGCCCCAAAGCUUCCUAUUGUCUGAAAAGAGAAGAGCAGAGAGAAUGGGGGAAGAGUACAUCCAGGGAUCUGGAUCCUUGGCCCAGGCUGAUGACCUUAAUGCAAAGCUGCUGUCGGAAUGGAAGAGAGACUUGGACAAAGAAUCUGUGUCAAAUGCACGUUCCAUUUUUUAUCUUACUUCUCAAUAUGUUACGAUGUUCUACAUAGCAAGCUUUUUUACCCAGAGGUUUUCCAGAUAAGUAUUUUUCAGAAUGCAUGAAUAAAGAAGAGCUGAUAAUUAGGGAAAAAAACAAACAAACAUAUGUCCAAUAUUCUUUAGUAUUUUUCAUUUUACGAAAUCCCAGAAACGAAUGCAGAAUAUGGUAUAAAUUUCAAAAUUGAAGUUAUACUUCAUUUUGAAUGAUUUCUAAUCUUCAUUUCUCUAGACUUGAUUAAGUAUUGUUAUUAUUUGUUGAAGGAAGGCAACGUGGUCUCCAAAAUAAGCGCCGAUAUGUUGAUUAUAACAUAACUGCAUAGACAGACAUAAAUGUUCCCAUGCAUGUAUUAAUAAAUACAUUAAUUUCAGUGUUAAUUCAGUUCCAAUGUCUUUCAUGCAUGUUAACUACACAACAGCUCCACCUCGUGGUUGACUAACUAUUGCCUGAGUAUUCGUUUUCAGCAUUGUAAGAAAACCAGGGUUGAAAACAAAAAUGCAAAAAAAACUGAUUAGGAGAGGAAAUUUUAUGUAUGAUUAAUUUCAUUUCACUUUUCUGUUGUUGUUAAAAAAGAAAAACAACAAAAAUGAAAAGGUGGUGGAAAGAAAAAAAAAAAGCUUGAGUGUUUAAUAUUUGCCUUUAGUAUUUAUCAUCUUCCAUCUAGGUGGCUAAUUAUAAAAAGGAAAAUUAUUUAUAUAAAAAACUAUUGAAAUUAUGAUAUGCUGUGUUUCUGAGAUUGUGAAUUGUCUAACUGUUAUGUUUUGUUUCUUCUUCAUACAGAUGUUAAAAAGUGAUGCAGCUAAUCAGCAGUUUAACCUUGAAGCUGCAAUUAAAAAUGUUGAGAAAAUGUCCAAUGAGCUGAAGAAACUAAAUGUGGAAAGCCAACUACUGCUUUGUGACAUUAUUUUGAAUUUCAACCAACCCAUGAAGGCCAAAGAUUUAAGAGAGGCUGAAGAAAAAGCUUGGAGUUUGAUGGAUUAAGUACUACCGUUCAUUUUCACGCAUUGUCUUCUAUUAAUAGUUAUUCAGUUUGAACUGUAAAAUGACAUAAUGGCUUAAUGCACUUGGAAUACUUUUAUCUGGAAAUGUAAGAUGGAAAAACGUCAUGUAGCAUAUUGAUUUUGAGAAAUAUUUUGAACCCAGUUUUCUCACACUAAGCAUAUUAGGUGUGGAACGAGUGGCAUAAUUAACUUAAAAUGUCAGGAAAUUUGAUCUGAUGUUUUUCCACACGUGGUUCACUCCUUUUAAACAAAGGCAUACUGGAAGAGUAAUAAAAGGUUUUAAAUUACUUCAAGUCAAGGCGUUGCUCUUAGAGAAAUGGGUAGGAAACGACCAGUAAAAGAGAAACUGCAGCUCCUCAUUUGAUCUGCCUUUCUCAUUGUAAAAAUGUUGCUGAGGAAAGAGGCCAUACAGAAGAUUACUUGUGGAGAACCAGAAGUAUUUUGAUCAGGUUUUGGUGGUGACUCUAAUGCACAUGGCUACAAGAGAAAGCAGAGUUUGAUAGUCUAAAUACCCUGAAGUCUUCUUGGCCCAAAAUUUGAAUAGCCAAUAUGUUUAUAUAUUUCAUUAGAACUUAUUCUUGUGAAAAGGUCUGAAUUUUGAGGUGUGUUUUUAAUCAUACAAACAUGUUUAUUUGAAUAGUCAAAUACAGACUUACUGUGCUGAAAAAGAAGUAUUCAAAGCUACAUUUUGUUAUGUUGGUUUGAUUUUUAAAGCUCUUUCUCUAAUGAGAUGCUUUAAAACAAAUAAAACAAUUCCAUGGGAGGCAUUUCUGGGUUAUCAGAUUUUUCAAAGGAAUGUAAUAGAACUACAACUCCCAGCUCAUACAGUUGGUGGCAGUCCUGAGGGAUUGAUCUUAUUUUGGAAAGACAUUAAGACUGACUUUUCUUUCACAAGAGUGGACAGGAGAUGUUUUUUAAUAUAUACAUGUAUAGAUAUAUUUUACUCGUAGUUGCACAGAAAUGAAAUUCUUUAACUUUGAAUUCCAGCUGCUAGUCAAAUAUAUUGGAAAUGAAAGUAACAUUUACAAAGCAUAUAUAUUUAAAAUUGUAUGAAAUCUGAUUGCUUUUUUUCUAAACUGCAUGGAAGACAGUAUCGUCUGAGUUGUGGUUCAACACACAGUUGACUUUAAAAGGGAAAAUGUGUAACCUGGUCCAAGGCAAUUCUUAAACCAAGAUGUUAGCAGAAAACCAGAGUUCCUAGAAAAUCUGGACAAAACAAUUGAAUGAAUUCCACUUUUCAAAGGAAUGGGAAAAAUCUUUUGUUAUUGUAUUCUUCAGUGGUCCCUUCAGCUUUUAUUUAAGAAUUGAGAAAGG